GAAUCACCAUUCCUGACCUCAAGCCAUAGUACAGAGCAAUGCUGAUUAAAAAAACUGCAUGGUAUUAGUACAGAAACAGGCAGGGAGAUCAGUGAAAUAGAAUUGAAGACCCAGAAAUGAACCCACACACCUAUGGUCACUUGAUCUUUGACAGAGCAGCUAAAUAAAACCAUCCAACGGGGAAAAAGACAGCAUUUUCAACAAAUGGUAUUGGUUCAACUGGAGGUUAGCAUGUAGAGGAAUGCAGAUCGAUCCAUUCUUAUCUCCUUGUACAAAGCUCAAGUCCAAGUGUAUCAAGGACCUCCAUAUAAAAUCAGAAUCACAGAAACUAAUAGAAGAGAAAGUGGGGGAAGAGCCUUCUUGCACAUGGGCGUGGGAAAUUUUCCUGAACAGAACACCAAUGGCAUAUGCUCUAAGAUCAAGAAUCAACAAGUGGAACCUCAUUAAAUUGCAAAGCUUUACCUGUAAGGUAAAGGACAUUGUCAAUAAGAUAAAACAGCAACCAACAGAUUAGGAAAAGAUCUUUACUAAUCCUACAUCCGAUAGAGGGCUAAUAUCCAAUAUAUACAAAGAACUCAAAAAGGUAGACUCCAGAGAACCAAAUAACCCUAUUAAAAAUGGGGUACAGAUCUAAAUAAAGAAUUCUCAACCGAGGAAUAUCGAAUGGCUGAGAAGCACCUAAAGAAAUGUUUAACAUCCUUAGUUAUCAGGGAAAAUUAAAAUCAAAACAACCCUGAGAUUCCACCUCACACCAGUCAGAAUGGCUAAUAUCAAAUGGCUAAGAUCAAAAACUAAGGUGACAGCAGAUGCUGGUGAGGAUGUAGAGAAAGAGGAACAUUCCUCCACUGCUGGUGGGAUUGCAAGCUGGUACAACCACUCUGGAAAUCAGUCCGGCGGUUCCUCAGAAAAUUGGACAUAGUACUACCGGAGGAUACAGCUAUACCAUUCCUGGACAUAUACCCAGAAGAUGCUCCAGCAUGUAAUAAGGACACAUGCUCCACUAUGUUCAUAGCAACCUUAUUUAUAAUAGCCAGAAGCUGGAAAGAACCCAGAUGUCCCUCAAUAGAGGAAUGGAUACAAGAAAUGUGGUACAUUUACACAAUGAAAUACUACUCAGCUAUUAAAAAUGAUGAAUUUAUGAAAUUCUUAGGUAAAUGGAUGGAACUAGAAAAUAUCAUCGUGAAUGAAGUAACCCAAUCACAAAAGAACACACUUAUAAUAAUAAGUGAAUAUUAGCCCAGAAUCUCGGAACACCCAACAUAGAAUUCAUAGACCAAAUGAAGCUCAAGAAGAAGGAAGACCAUGGAUACUUCAGUCCUUCUUAGAAGGGGGAACAAAAUGCCCAUGGGAGGAGAUACUGAGACAAAGUGUGGAGCAAAGACUGAAACAAAGACCAUCCAGAGACUGCCCCACUGAGGAAUCCAUCCCAUAUAGAGUCACCAAACUCAGACACUAUUGUGGAUGCCAAGAAGUGCUUGCUGACAGGAGCCUGAUAGGGCUGCUUCCUGAGAGGCUCUGCCAGAGCCUGACAAAUACAGAGGUGGAUGCUUGCAGCCAACCAUUGGACUGAGCACGGAGUCCCCAAUGGAGCAGUUAGAGAAAGGAUUGAAGGAGCUGAAGGGGUUUGCAACCCCAUAGGAAGAACAACAUCAAUCAACCAGACUUCCCAGAGCUCCCAGGGACUAAACCACCAACCAAAGAGUACACAUGGAGGAACCCAUGGCUCCAGCCACAUAUGUAGCAGAGGCUGGCCUUGUUGGACAUCAGUGGGAGGAGAGGUCCUUGGUCCUGUGAAGGUGCAUUGGCCUGGUGUAAGGGAAUGCCAGGGCAGGGAAGCAGGAGUGGAUGGGUUGGAGGGGGAGCACCCUCAUAAAAGCAGGGGGAGGGAGGAUGAGAUAGGGGGUUUCUGGAGGGGAAACCAGGAAAAGGGAUAACAUUUUAAAUGUAAAUAAAUAAAAUACCC
rnacentral:lncRNA from 1 species